rnacentral:rRNA from 1 species
GAUGAACGCUGGCGGCGUGCCUAAUACAUGCAAGUCGAGCGAACGGACGAGAAGCUUGCUUCUCUGAUGUUAGCGGCGGACGGGUGAGUAACACGUGGAUAACCUACCUAUAAGACUGGGAUAACUUCGGGAAACCGGAACUAAUACCGGAUGAUAUUUUGAACCGCAUGGUUCAAAAGUGAAAGACGGUCUUGCUGUCGCUUAUAGAUGGAUCCGCGCUGCAUUAGCUAGUUGGUAAGGUAACGGCUUACCAAGGCAACGAUGCAUAGCCGACCUGAGAGGGUGAUCGGCCACACUGGAACUGAGACACGGUCCAGACUCCUACGGGAGGCAGCAGUAGGGAAUCUUCCGCAAUGGGCGAAAGCCUGACGGAGCAACGCCGCGUGAGUGAUGAAGGUCUUCGGAUCGUAAAACUCUGUUAUUAGGGAAGAACAUAUGUGUAAGUAACUGUGCACAUCUUGACGGUACCUAAUCAGAAAGCCACGGCUAACUACGUG